UACAGAGGGCUCAAGCGUUGUUCGGAUUCAUUGGGCGUAAAGGGUGCGUAGGCGGCGCGGUAAGUCGGGUGUGAAAUCUCGGAGCUUAACUCCGAAACUGCAUUCGAUACUGCCGUGCUUGAGGACUGGAGAGGAGACUGGAAUUCCUGGUGUAGCGGUGAAAUGCGCAGAUAUCAGGAGGAACACCGGUGGCGAAGGCGGGUCUCUGGGCAACAACUGACGCUGAGGAGCGAAAGCGUGGGGAGCGAACAGG
rnacentral:rRNA from 1 species